rnacentral:lncRNA from 1 species
ACUGGUUCUACUUCAAUAGUGAAGUCAACUCCUCUCUUGGGCGGUGGUCCCGUCAAUGGCUCAAAUACGUCCGCGUAUUCAUUUGCCAUAGGUAUCUCCUCGAGGCUUUUAUAUGCUCCCUCUCCAACCAUGGAAAUUGUUGCCAAGAAAGGUUCACAUCCUUCCUCCAUAUCCCGUGUCGGCCUUCACUCCUUGAGAGACUUUCCGACCUUCUUGAUGCAGAGCAUAAGCC